rnacentral:rRNA from 1 species
UACGAAGGGGGCUAGCGUUGUUCGGAAUUACUGGGCGUAAAGCGCACGUAGGCGGAUUGACAAGUCAGGGGUGAAAUCCCGGGGUUCAACCUCGGAACUGCCUUUGAUACUGUCAGUCUAGAGUCCGGAAGAGGUGGGUGGAAUUCCUAGUGUAGAGGUGAAAUUCGCAGAUAUUAGGAAGAACACCGGUGGCGAAGGCGGCCCACUGGUCCGGUACUGACGCUGAGGUGCGAAAGCGUGGGGAGCAAACAGG